UACGUAGGGGCAAGCGUUGGUCCGGAAUAAUUGGGCGUAAAGGGCGAGCAGGCGGUAUUUUAAGUCAGGUGUGAAAGGCUGGGCUCAACCCCAGAAGCUGCACCUGAAACUGGAAUCUUGAGAGCAGGAGAGGGAGUGGAAUUCCCGGUGUAGCGGGUGGAAUGCGUAGAUAUCGGGAGGAACACCAGUGGCGAAGGCGGCUCCCUGGCCUGGGACUGACACUGAGGCGCGAAAAGCGUGGGGAGCAAACAGGG
rnacentral:rRNA from 1 species